UUUUUCCAAAUCUUUUCCUGAACUGGGGGGGGAUGGACCUCAUUCAGCGAUUUCCUCCCAAAAUUUACCUAAACCAGGAUAAAUAAAUAAUAUGAAGGUGUUAUUUAGUGGCUAUUCUUAAUGGAGUAAAAAAUAAUAAAAUUCUUCCAAAGCAAUGGAAGACUUAAAAAGAAAAAUCUCAUUCAAUGGGAAAAAACUUCCAAUUUUUUUCUUUUGCAAACAUUUGGGAUUAAAAUCAAAGAUGGUUAUACAUACCCAGACCUAAUAAUUCACAUCAUUUUUAUUUACCUUGACACUAUAGAGUUUUCUUCCUUAAUAUUUUGCAUAGCUCCAAAAAAGCAACCAGACAUUUUAUAUAUUUUAAGUUGUAUGUUGUCAUAAAAUAUAUAUUUUUUAGCUGCUACUUCUGCAGAGUGUUGACCUUGUUUUAAACAUCUCCUAUGUGUUGGAGAGUUUUUGUUAUCUUAUAGAAAAACAGCAAGUUCACAGGUUAUUUCAUGUGUUCCCAUACAGCCUUCCUCAGAUGCCAUACGGGGAGGCACAAUCAAUGUCAAUCCUAUGUACCACUGCAGUACUGCCAAGCAUCCCUACCAACAGCUCAUUACAGGAGGAAGUGCUGCUGCUCUGUCAGAUGGAGAGAAUACAUUAGCUGAAGUAUUUGAGGAAGUACAGAAGAUAUGAAUGUUGACUUUCAUGACAUCGAACAUUGUCUGGCAUAUGUUUGACAUGUGUGAUUAAGCAUCAGGAGGACUGGAACAGCAAUAAAGAAGAUCAGUGAAGUUUUAAUCAGAUCUAAAGUGCAUACUGAGGACAGGACAAGAUCAACGUGCUUCAAAGAGACUUUUGGGUUUUCUAAUAAGAGAUAAAAAGUGACUAUUUACACUUGCCUUAGACAAUAACAAAUUUUUGAUGAAAGAUAGGUGGGAUUUUUAGUUGUCGUCAGGGGUUUUUAUUUUGUUGUUUUGUUUUGGUGUUUGCUUACUAUUAUUACUAUUACUAUUACUAUUAUUGUUAUUGUUAUUGUUAUUGUUAUUGUUAUUGUUAUUGUUAUUGUUAUUGUUAUUGUUAUUGUUAUUGUUAUUGUUAUUGUUGUUAUUAUUAUAUUUUCCUAAGAUAAUGUUUCUAAAUAUGAAUCAGAUACAAAAAAUUAAAUACUGUUUUACAUAUGAAAACCUAGGUGAUAAAUAUGGAUAUAUAAUGGAAAAAUACAGGUGUUAUUGUAUCUAGUAGGGUAUCUAUGAAAUGCCAAUUGUGAAAAAAAAGAAAUAAAGUUUACAGUAUCUCA